AGUGAACGCUGGCGGUAGGCCUAACACAUGCAAGUCGAACGGCAGCACAGUAAGAGCUUGCUCUUACGGGUGGCGAGUGGCGGACGGGUGAGGAAUACAUCGGAAUCUACUUUUUCGUGGGGGAUAACGUAGGGAAACUUACGCUAAUACCGCAUACGACCUACGGGUGAAAGCAGGGGAUCUUCGGACCUUGCGCGAUUGAAUGAGCCGAUGUCGGAUUAGCUAGUUGGCGGGGUAAAGGCCCACCAAGGCGACGAUCCGUAGCUGGUCUGAGAGGAUGAGAAGCCACACUGGAACUGAGACACGGUCCAGACUCCUACGGGAGGCAGCAGUGGGGAAUAGUGGACAAUGGGCGCAAGCCUGAUCCAGCCAUACCGCGUGGGUGAAGAAGGCCUUCGGGUUGUAAAGCCCUUUUGUUGGGAAGGAAAAGCAGCAGGUUAAUACCCCGCUGUUCUGACGGUACCCAAAGAAUAAGCACCGGCUAACUUCGUG
rnacentral:rRNA from 1 species